rnacentral:lncRNA from 1 species
UUUUUUUUAAAGCUAUAAACUACCAAAGAUUCGAUUAGUUCCGUGUGAUUACACCACCGUACGUAAUGUUACUAAUUCACUUCAUAAUAUUAUGCAACAACAGACUGUCACACCUAAGAGGGAACUGCAAAAUGAGGGAUAUACAGUGAGAAGCUAACAAUUUUGGGUCACUUACUGAAAUGAAAUAUGGGGUUUAAAUUUUGGUCAUUGCUCUGUUUUUGGCAUUUGUGAGAAAUCAAUCCAGAUCAUAUAUGUUUGUUUCCGGAGUCUGUCACGUGAACGAGUCUCAGAAGCCAGUUCUAAUUUGGAUAUAACAGCUAGAGAAAACUGGCUAGUUAUACAACUUUGGAAGUCUCAGCUGGUAAGCGAAGGAGGUCAGAUUUGCUACUUUAGUACUUGGUCUAAUUUAUCUGCUUUAGCUGGUACUUUUGAAAAUGAAAUGUUAUAAGUGUGUACAAACAAAAUACCAUAAAGCCAUCUUAAUUAGUAGAUCAUGAAUAAGCCAAGGCUGAUCAAUAUGAAAAGAGAGAACGUUAAUGUAAAAGGUAUACACCUGUGACAUGUAAGUUUCUCUCGAACGUUAACGUCAAAGGUAUACACCUGUGACAUGUAAGUUUCUCUCGAACGUUAACGUAAAAGGUAUACACUGCAUAACAUAUAUAAAUUUCUCUCAUUGCCCAUAGUAAGAUAAAAAGAACUCAUAAAAACCAAGAAUUAUAUGCAAGUCAAGAAUACAGAUAAACAAACCUCUCCUAAUGUACUUUGUCUUCCAGUGCCUAGGCUCAUCGAAGCUUAAGUUUGACCUCUUCCUACUAUGGGGUUGACCAAUGUUCAUACCCCAUACAAAUGUACCUGUAGAACUGCAAAUUAACAGCAUCAUCAUCUUAUAUAUAUAUAUAUAUAUAUUACUUUUAAUUAAUUUCCUUUGCAACUGCAAGUAGUUCUUGUUUGGUUGGUGAUUCUCGGACCGUCCUUGAUGUUAAUUCUUAAUUAAUCCUAUAUUAAUUAUCAAUAAUUUAGUUCAUAUAAGAUAAUAAAGUAAAUAUUAGCACGACUAAAUAAAGUCCUAUAACUGUUGUUAUCUUGAAAUCUCUACAUGUUAUGUUUUUUUCUGUUUUUAUUCUCCGGAAAAUUAAAUAAUUAUAAAUAAAUAAAAACUAAGUCAGCCUCCUGUCUUUGGUGUGCAAAAUAUUAACAAUCCUCAAAGCGACUACGUGAUGACAUGUGGACAAUUGUUCAGCGUCCAAUGUGAUAAUCAAGUUGGAGUAAUUUGCAUGGUUUGAGUCUGUGACUGCAGAAAACAAACCUUAUUCUUAUGUUGUUAUUUGAGGGAGAGUUUAAAAAUAAAAAAUAAAAACAUUAUGGUUGACCAGGUGGAAAUUCGGGAGGUCAAAGUAGGAGAUUGUCAUUUAGGUCUUGUUUUCAACCUUGAAAAAAUGAGUUGAAAUUCAUUUACAUGAAUGAGUCUUCUUCCCCAUGCAAAUAUAUUAUUAUGAGAUUUUGCAUGGUCUACGGUUUGGGUGUAUAUUUUAAUGAGCUUUGUGAAUCUAUACGGUCUGUAUUUUUAUGAAGUCAAUCCUCUCUCUCUCUCUCUCUCUCUCUCUCUCUCUCAAAUCGAAAUCCAAUUUAUUAUAAGUUAGCCAUAUGAAUGAAUCGUCAUGUUUACGAUAACCAUUUGCAGGCCUUUAUAUAAAAGGAAAUGCUACUUCGCAUGCACAUAUAAUUAGUGUUCUAGAAACAAUUAAUAAUUCUAUGUUAUUUUGAAGUGAAUAAUAACCACAACUUAAUUUGGUUUUGUUGCCGAAGUUUGGAAGGGAGAGUAGGAAAAACUCACACACAGGUAUCAUGAGAGGUUUAAAAAAUAGAGAAUUGUGAAUGAUACAUAAAAAAGUUAUUAUGGACUUGUUAAAAUGCAACUUUUCUCUAACAUUUUCAUACGAGAGGAAUGCAUGAUGACUUUUUAAUGUUAAUAAUUUGUUGAAACAUAUUAUAAAAAGUAAAGUUUUAUAUUUAUUGUGACAUAAUAAAAUGGGACUAUAAACUCAUAACUAUAUCACUUAAUUUAUUCCUCAAUCUCAGACAAAUCAUAGUAGUAAUCUAUUCACCAAUUUCAAUCUCCUUUAAUAACCAAAUACAAAUACAAGUACCCAAUUUGGGCUGCAUAAUUCCCGCCCGAGCUUUAAUGGGGCCGUUGCAUGAAGACAAUGGGCCUGACAGCGAAUUCGAUCCUAAGGAAACGACGACGUGUUGAACCAAAUAAGGGUCCGUAAGGGCAAUUCAGUAAAAGGCGCCCUCAUUCCCACCAAAUAUAUGUGCUCGGUUUCACUAACUCGUUCCUUCUUAAGCCCUAGAAACCCUAGCUCUCGGAGGCGCCUCUGCUGAUAUUGCGCAUCUUUUCUGGUACGUGAAGACUUCACUCUAAAACUUCAUUCUCUUCAUCAAUAAGUGAAACUGUUUCGAUCUGUGUUCCUUUUGAGGCUCUUAUUUGUUCAUGUAUGACCCUUUUCAUUUAUUUUGGAUGAUUUUUUGAGGUGUAGAGUUGAUCCUAACACAUCUAGAUCUAUUGGAUAUUGCUUUGAUCAAUUUGGUUUCAAAUAUGUUUUGAUUAGGCGCCUGUGUAGUUGUGAUUUAUGAUUUGAUGUGUUUCUCUGGAUUGAAAUGCUGAAACUUUUUUUCUGCUCAAGGCCAAUUGUUUGUUUUGUGUUUUAUUUUUGUAGGAAUAGAUGUUCUGGAAUUGGGUUUAACAAAUUAUGAGUCUUAAACAAACCACAAUAGUUGUUUAUUGAAUCUUGAUUAAUAUGUUUGACCCAGCUAGAAAUGGGAAAAGGGAUCAAACUACCAAUAUGGUGGUUGAUUGCGUUUAUUAUAUAAUUAGUUAGACUGUAAGAUUUGACAAGUGAAUCUGUGUAAUUCUGGUCCCAUUGAGUAGGAACACAUUGAAAUGAGGUUUCUAGUUACAUGUUUCUGUUUGUCUCAUUUGUUUUACUUGAUUUUUUUGGGUGCAAAACCCGAUGAUCUUAAUGAAUUCUUUUUAUAACAUGCAGAAGCGACAAUGGUGAGAGUUAGCGUUCUGAACGAUGCGCUCAAGAGCAUGUACAAUGCAGAGAAAAGGGGCAAGCGCCAGGUCAUGAUCAGACCAUCAUCCAAGGUCAUCAUCAAGUUUCUUUUGGUGAUGCAAAAGCAUGGUAUGUAUCUUUUAUUUAAUUCUUAUAUUCGCCACUUAAAUAAUUUCCCAGUUGUUUCUUAGUUGAAAAUUUUCUGAUUAUAUAGACAUUUAUGCUUUUGUUUCUCUCUAUAGGAUACAUUGGUGAGUUCGAGUAUGUUGAUGACCACAGGGCUGGUAAAAUUGUGGUCGAACUGAAUGGACGGCUUAACAAAUGUGGGGUUAUCAGCCCUCGUUUUGAUGUGGGUGUUAAGGAGAUUGAAGGCUGGACUGCAAGAUUGCUUCCAUCUAGACAGGUUAGCCAGUUGUUAUCAGUUAACUAUUUCAAGCCUAGAAACGUGUAUAUUUCUUGAUGGGUUCCUGUUGAGUAAUAACAUUGUAGUUUGGAUUCGUUUAACAUGUAUAUUUUUUCAAUUAAUUUUUAGAAUGUAGAAAGAUGUGCAGGAUUAGGUCAUUAUAUUUGGUUGAUCAUGUUAGUGGUGGUGAUUCAUAUAGCUCUGUAGUUGGUUCCCAUUUGAAUCAAACGUUGAGAUAUCCUGUAAUAUGGUUAAUGUGUUAUAGUAAUCUAGAACCCUUAUAUCGAUUUCUAGUCUGGUUUGGAUGUCUCAUUUGAUUCCCUUAUUAUAUCGAUUUCUAGUCUGGUUUGGAUGUCUCAUUUGAUUCCCUUAUUGCGUUUCAUGGUGUGCAACUGUGUCAUUGUGCACAUAGCUUAUUCUGCUGGGCUUAUGGUUUUUUGCUUGAACUUGCAGUUUGGAUACAUAGUGCUGACAACAUCUGCUGGCAUUAUGGAUCAUGAGGAGGCUAGGAGAAAGAAUGUUGGUGGUAAAGUGCUUGGUUUCUUUUACUAGGCAAGGUUUUUUCCAGGAAUGAGAAUUGAGUUUUCCCGCUAAUGAAGAGCUUUUGGGUGUACUUUUGAACAUCAUAGGUUACUUCUAUGUUUCAAUUUGUGUUUGUUUUGAAUGCUAAUAGAGGUUUUUACUGGAAUGUUAUUUGCUAGAAUUUAUCUUUAAGUGUUUGGUUAUCCAUAGUGCAUCUGGUGGUUGUGGCCUCAGUCUUAAAUUAUCUUAUGAAAUCCAACAUUUUUGCAUCCCGCAGAAUAAUUUUGAAUGGCUAGGUUUUUAUCGCAAUAAUGAAUGAAUAGAAGUUGUUGUGUUGCAGGCGGUGCUUUGUUUUCUGCAUGUCAUGUAGAGACGUUACUUUUCCGGGUUUUAAUGGUAUUUGCUUAUGCAUAUGGUUUUCAAAAAGGAAAUUAGCAUCUCCUUACCGAUCAGUUAUCUGCUAUUUAAAUGCGGUGCAGUAUGACUACAAUUUCUGUUUCCCUUGCUGUCUACUACAUACAUUUCUUGGGUGGGCUUGAGAAUUAUAAGAGCCGACGAAUUUUAUUUUUUUGGCUUCAAAGUCAGAGAAUAAAAAAGAUUUUAUUCAUGUUGUAAUGAUUCGUUCUCGAGGUUGUUGUCAACCUUUCCACAAAGUUUCGUCAUGGUCAAGUUUGGGUAAUCAAAAUUGCUUGUGCAGACUGUAAAACCAUCCAAUUACUGAUACGUCUUCAGUUUAAAUGACAUGGGAAAUGAUUUCUCAUCCAAUCCUGUCCAUAAAUCAAACAAGACCUAAGAUUAGGCGGGCAAUAAUCAGGGACGUUCAAAUUCCAAUCCAUUGUGUUCAAGCAACUAAUUCGUCUGCUAUUUUUGUUUCAAUGAUUCAACAGCGAGUAAUUCGAUCUGUUAUUUAAUGUUUUUUUGGUCUAACAUGGGAUUCUCAGCUUAAAUGGUUAAGAGCUUACAAGGGACUUGGGGGAGCUUAAGCUUAUGCAUGCGACAUGGUUUUGUUUAUUUUUUUUCUUCAUCUUCUUCAAGGUUGGUUUAAGGUUGGCAAUUAGCUUUUUUAGAAAGGAGGGGAAGGGGACAAGAGUGAUAACCAUCAAAUCAUACAACUACUUUUUUUCGUGCUUCAUGUCCUCUUAACAUCAUUAUUUGCAUCGCUUUCAACCUCUACUCAAUUAAUGGUCCGCAUGGAUCUUAGACAUCCCACAAUUAAAGAUUCAUGCUGUGGUUAAUAUAAACACAAAAAAACACACUAUAUAUAAAAAUUAUUACAAAAUUACAUACAAACCCAAGAGAGAGAGAGAGAGAGAAAAAAAAAAAAAAGGAAAGAAGAGAGAGAGAGGAGUUAUGUAACGUUUGAGAAUACAAGAGAGAGAGACUACAUGAACCAGCCGAAGAUCUUUAUUAGGAGGAGAGAAUGCUAAUGAAAUAGCAUUAAGGGAAAGAGAAACACAAAGAGAAACACACACUUGUUGAAAAACUGCCAAAGAUCUGUAGUUGCCCUACCAUCAAAUCAAAGCCAACAUGACUUGUUCAAGUUUCAAUUAGCUAAGCUUUCUUUGUCGUCUGCACUGCAUCAUCAUCGUCGCCUUUGUUGGUAGUAGUAGUAGUAGCAACAAAACCACCAACUUCACCACCGACGGUAUCACCGCCGCUCCCGACUUCCAUCGGUGGCCGGACGACGAAGAAGUAGCAGAGAUGAAUGAGAUGAUGCAGAAGCAACAAGACGAGAGAAUGUGUUGUUGAUAGAUGUUGGAAGAGGUUACAAAGAAAGAGCAAUGUGUUGUGACGUUUUGUAGGUGCAGGGAAGGUGGGUGGAGGAUCUUCUCAGCAUAUGCUCUAAGCAUAACUUCCUUUUGUGUUCCUUUCUAUAGUACCUUUUUCCUCACUGUUCAUUGUUUUCAAUUACUCUUUAUUAUUUUUUAUUUUGGCUACAGUGUUCCUAACUCUUGAUCCAAC